rnacentral:rRNA from 1 species
AUAAAUUGAGGAGGAGAGCGAGAUGGGGGAUUUUUUUUGAUAGGAGAGCAAGAUAGAGAAGGGGAUAGGGGCUCUUUGGGGCUUUGGAGGCGGGCGGGCGGUUACCGCUGGCGGCGGGUCCAGCGGCGGUGUAAAGAGAGGAAGGAGAGUACGGGGGCAGUGGUGUGGCGAGGGAGGGGAAGGUAGAGGAAGGACCGCUGGGGACAUAACGGGCGGAGCGAGGCCCGGCGACGGCGCCCCCCGGUUUGGGAGUGGAAGGCGACGGCCCCGGCAGCGUAGCGGCAGCAACGAGUCGAGGGAUGAUACUAAGGUCUCGAUCGAUCGCCCCUCUUCUUUUAGGCCACCAGUAGCUCCCGCCACGCUAGUAAACGUUACCGCCUCGACCUCCGUGCCUUCUACUCCAUGGGUUGGUGUCCGUGGCUCCCCGACGAAUACCCGUAUGAGCAACUUCCUUGAUCACUGCGCCGUUUUGAAUACGCACGAUUCCCUUAGUGUAACGAGUGCCACGCACUGCGCCGUCGUUGUUAUGAACCCUUCAGUCUUUACAAAAUGAAGUCAGGAUACGUAGGUGGUAACUGUCUUAGACGUGUCGCACGGGAACUAACCCGACAUUUGCUCUUUGAUUUCAGUCCACUCCUGCCUCUCCAUUGCCGGUUAGUAAACAAGGACCGCUAUACCAGUCUAUUUCUCAGUCGACCAGUAUUCCAAGACCGAAGGGAACCAAAACUACUAGUCUUUCGGUCAAACGACCGGUUUUGCCAUUGCCAGAUUAAGAAGCAGCUCCAACUAUGAAGUGUCCCGAUUACCAAAGAGUUUGGAAGAUGGUUGGGAGACGUCCGUCCGCUUCUCUUUCGUUACUCAGGAUCUAUCGUUUAGUUCGUCGGCCAAAUAUUAACUUGAAGGGCCUCCAAUAAAUACACAAGUGGACCGUUGUAGAUCCGUGAUCAACCGCCGACCGCCAUGGUGCCUCGAAGCUAUUCAAAAUCCCCAAAAUUCUAGCCAAUCCGGCUUAGGUUUUACACAUGAGGGUGAUAACGGUUUGCGUCAUGUACAUUUUUGUAAUGUUACAUAAAAGCCUGCUUGUGCCAAAAGAAGGUGAGAGUCGAUCAAACAACCUGACGGGAAGCCUCUGGGUAAGUUUCUAGGUCUAAGACUCAAGUAGGGGUGGAAGUCUCAAAAACAAGUUAGAGUUAGACUUAGGACUGUUUGGUACUGGUAAAAUACCUUUCGCUGACGAGAGGUGUAGUGGCAUAUUCAAACUGUGCCCUGUAAUAGUAGUAAACGCGGAUCUUCACACAUCAAAAGAGUAGUAAGAUUCGUCCCCUUCCCUUCGAAAGGGGUGAAAUGUGGUUUACGCGUUGUGCUC